rnacentral:rRNA from 1 species
AUUGAACGCUGGCGGCAGGCCUAACACAUGCAAGUCGAGCGGAGCGGCGGACGGGUGAGUAAUGCCUAGGAAUCUGCCUGGUAGUGGGGGAUCACGUCCGGAAACGGGCGCUAAUACCGCAUACUAUCAGAUGAGCCUAGGUUGGAUUAGCUAGUUGGUGGGGUAAAGGCCUACCAAGGCGACGAUCCGUAACUGGUCUGAGGGGAUGAUCAGACAGACUGGAACGGAGAAACGGCCCAGACUCCGACGGGAGGAAGCGGUGGGGAAUAUUGGAGAAUGGGCGAAAGCCGGAUCCAGCCAAGCCGCGUGUGUGAAGAAGGUCUUCGGAUUGUUAAGCACUUUAAGUUGGGAGGCGUUACCAACAGAAUAAGCACCGGCUAACUUCGUGCCAGCAGCCGCGGUAAUAC